UGGGGAAUCUUGCGCAAUGCGCGAAAGCGUGACGCAGCAACGCCGCGUGGGGGAAGAAGGCCUUCGGGUUGUAAACCCCUUUCAGGAGGGACGAAGCCCGGGCGGUGAAUAGCCGACUCGGGUGACGGUACCUCCACAAGAAGCCCCGGCUAACUACGUGCCAGCAGCCGCGGUAAUACGUAGGGGGCAAGCGUUGUCCGGAAUUAUUGGGCGUAAAGAGCGUGUAGGCGGUCCGGUUAGUCGGCUGUGAAAGUCAAGGGCUCAACCCUUGAAUGCCGGUCGAUACUGCCGGACUAGAGUUCGGAAGAGGCGAGUGGAAUUCCCGGUGUAGCGGUGAAAUGCGCAGAUAUCGGGAGGAACACCGAUGGCGAAGGCAGCUCGCUGGGACGACACUGACGCUGAGACGCGAAAGCGUGGGGAGCAAACAG
rnacentral:rRNA from 1 species